rnacentral:tRNA from 1 species
CAGGGAGACAACAAAAUGUUUAAUAUUAUUAUUUUGUCACCUUAGGUCGAUCGGUAUCUCACAUUCUUAAUUUAUUAAGGAUUUCAUUUCCUAAGUUUUUCUAGGUCACACCCAUUAUUUUUCCUGGGCCAUUAGCUCAGGUGGUUAGAGCGCACCCCUGAUAAGGGUGAGGUCCCUGGUUCAAGUCCAGGAUGGCCCAUACUCUAUGUUGGGGGUAUAGCUCAGUUGGUAGAGCGCCUGCUUUGCAAGCAGGAUGUCAGCGGUUCGAGUCCGCUUACCUCCACUGAUUACCACCUCUUCCAUAAUCUGUAGAAAGGAAAAUUUUUGAGUUGUGAUCAUAAAUCUGAACGAAUCUAGCUUCCUAAUGAAACAUUAAGAUGCUGGACUCAUCGAAUUAAUUUCAUUGUUUUCAGAGAACCUUGACAACUGCAUAGAUUAUUUUUAAAGACAAUAAGCAUCUUUAUGAUGCAGAUUUAUUAUUUGUGCGAAUGCAUUAAUAACAAUUCUAUUAAGCUGAUGCUUCAAUUUUGAAGUUAUU